UACAGAGGGUGCAAGCGUUAAUCGGAAUUACUGGGCGUAAAGCGUGCGUAGACGGUUAUGUAAGUCAGAUGUGAAAUCCCCGGGCUUAACCUGGGAACUGCAUUUGUGACUGCAUGGCUGGAGUGCGGCAGAGGGGGAUGGAAUUCCGCGUGUAGCAGUGAAAUGCGUAGAUAUGCGGAGGAACACCGAUGGAGAAGGCCAUCCCCCGGGCCUGCCCUGACGCUCAUGCCCGAAAGCGUGGGGAGCAAACAGG
rnacentral:rRNA from 1 species